rnacentral:lncRNA from 1 species
GUGUGUGUGUGUGUGUGUGUGUGUGUGUGUAGUAUUGCUUGAGCGAAGGAGAGAAACUUCUGACUGAGAAGGGUCCCAGUGACUUGUAGAAAACUUCUAGCAACUUUGAGGCCAGCAGGACCAGCCCCACAAUGGGAGCCAAAUCCAAGACAGUGCUUGUGACUGUUGCUAUAGAGACAUGUGCCUGCUAGCCAUUGCCUGCACAGAAGAUCCCCAAUGGCAAGCUUUUGAAAGUGUUUGGCCAGACUUGCCGAAACUGGAACUGACCCUGGAAGGACUUGUCAUGAAGAAAAUGUCUUUCUGGGAACGGGUCACCAUUCUUCCGGCACGAUCACCAGAGACUGCAAGUUGAAGACAGUUCAUAAACCAUGGUGGACACAAGGUGCUCACCAUCUCCACUGAGGACCUUGCUGAUCUGUAUGUGUCCCUAAAUGGUGGUGAUUAUUUAGUACAUGGUGACUCUCCUUUACUGAAAGGAGAGUCAGGAUGACACCCUUGGUGCCUUGGGUAAGCAUGUAGGUCUCCCCUAAUUAAAUCCUAGGAAUCAUGACUUGUAGGGGAAAGGCACACUCUUUUCUAAAGAGAAAAAAAAAAGAGAGAGAGACCAGACUUCUGAGAGAGGAAGAGGGAGAGAGACAGAGACAGAGACAGAGAGACAGACAGACACACACACAGAGGACAAACAGAGACUAA